rnacentral:rRNA from 1 species
CAGUCGCCGCGGGAAUACGUAGGUGGCAAGCGUUGUCCGGAAUUACUGGGCGUAAAGCGUGCGCAGGCGGUUCGUUAAGACAGAUGUGAAAUCCCCGGGCUUAACCUGGGAACUGCAUUUGUGACUGGCGGGCUAGAGUAUGGCAGAGGGGGGUAGAAUUCCACGUGUAGCAGUGAAAUGCGUAGGGAUGUGGAGGAAUACCGAUGGCGAAGGCAGCCCCCUGGGCCAAUACUGACGCUCAUGCACGAAAGCGUGGGGAGCAAACAGGAUUAGAUACCCGUGUAGUCCCUGUCUCUUAUAC